UACGGAGGGUGCGAGCGUUGUCCGGAAUCACUGGGCGUAAAGGGCGCGUAGGUGGCGCGAGUAGUCAACGGUGAAAGCCCGGGGCUCAACCCCGGGUCGGCCGUCGAUACUCUCGUGCUUGAGCACUGUAGAGGCAGGUGGAAUUCCGGGUGCAGCGGUGGAAUGCGUAGAGAUCCGGAAGAACACCGGUGGCGAAGGCGGCCUGCUGGGCAGUAGCUGACACUGAGGCGCGACAGCGUGGGGAGCAAACAGG
rnacentral:rRNA from 1 species